CAAGUCGAGCGGUUGAGGGUAGCUUGCUACCCGAUGCAGCGGCGGACGGGUGAGUAAUACAUGGGAAUCUGCCUGGUAGUGGGGGACAACGUUUUCGAAAGGAACGCUAAUACCGCAUACGCCCUACGGGGGAAAGGGGGGGAUCGCAAGACCUCUCGCUAUCAGAUGAGCCCAUGUCGGAUUAGCUAGUUGGUGGGGUAAAGGCUCACCAAGGCGACGAUCCGUAACUGGUCUGAGAGGAUGAUCAGUCACACUGGAACUGAGACACGGUCCAGACUCCUACGGGAGGCAGCAGUGGGGAAUAUUGGACAAUGGGCGCAAGCCUGAUCCAGCCAUGCCGCGUGUGUGAAGAAGGCCUUAGGGUUGUAAAGCACUUUCAGUGGGGAGAAAGGUAGUUCACUUAAUACGUGAGCUAAUUGAUGUUACCCACAGAAGAAGCACCGGCUAACUCCGUGCCAGCAGCCGCGGUAAUACGGAGGGUGCAAGCGUUAAUCGGAAUUACUGGGCGUAAAGCGCACGUAGGUGGUUUGUUAAGCCAGCUGUGAAAUCCCCGGGCUCAACCUGGGCACUGCAGUUGGAACUGGCAAGCUAGAGUAGGGUAGAGGGGUGUGGAAUUCCAGGUGUAGCGGUGAAAUGCGUAGAUAUCUGGAGGAACAUCAGUGGCGAAGGCGACACCCUGGACUCAUACUGACACUGAGGUGCGAAAGCGUGGGGAGCAACAGGAUUAGAUACCCUGGUAUUCCACGCCGUAAACGAUGUCUACUAGCCGUUGGGAGCCUUGACCUCUUAGUGGCCCACCUAACGCACUAAUUAAACCGCCUGGGGAAUACGGUCCCCAAA
rnacentral:rRNA from 1 species